rnacentral:rRNA from 1 species
ACUCAAAGGAAUUGACGGGGGACCGCACAAGCGGUGGAGCAUGUGGCUUAAUUCGAUGCAACGCGAAGAACCUUACCAGGGCUUGACAUGUAGCUGCAAGCCGCCGAAAAGCGGUCGCCUUCGAGGGUGCUACACAGGUGGUGCAUGGCUGUCGUCAGCUCGUGUUGUGAAAUGUUGGGUUAAGUCCCGCAACGAGCGCAACCCUCAUCGUUUGUUACCAGCGGAUAAUGCCGGGGACUCGAACGAAACUGCCUCUGUAAAGAGGAGGAAGGCGGGGAUGACGUCAAGUCAUCAUGCCCCUUACGCCCUGGGCUGCACACAUGCUACAAUGGCCGGCACAAAGGGUUGCGAGCGCGCGAGCGUCAGCUAAUCCCAAAAAACCGGUCUCAGUUCGGAUCGCAGUCUGCAACUCGACUGCGUGAAGUCGGAAUCGCUAGUAACCGCCGGUCAGCAAUACGGCGGUGAAUACGUUCCCGGUCCUUGCACACACCGCCCGU